CCUACGGGAGGCAGCAGUGAGGAAUAUUGGUCAAUGGACGCAAGUCUGAACCAGCCAUGCCGCGUGCAGGAAGACGGCUCUAUGAGUUGUAAACUGCUUUUGUACGAGGGUAAACGCAGAUACGCGUAUCUGUCUGAAAGCAUCGUACGAAUAAGGAUCGGCUAACUCCGUGCCAGCAGCCGCGGUAAUACGGAGGAUUCAAGCGUUAUCCGGAUUUAUUGGGUUUAAAGGGUGCGUAGGCGGUCGGAUAAGUUAGAGGUGAAAUCCCGAGGCUCAACUUCGGAAUUGCCUCUGAUACUGUUCGGCUAGAGAGUAGUUGCGGUAGGCGGAAUGUAUGGUGUAGCAGUGAAAUGCUUAGAGAUCAUACAGAACACCGAUUGCGAAGGCAGCUUACCAAGCUACGUCUGACGUUGAGGCACGAAAGCGUGGGGAGCAAACAGGAUUAGAUACCCUGGUAGUC
rnacentral:rRNA from 1 species